rnacentral:rRNA from 1 species
UUUGGACAAUGGGCGAAAGCCUGAUCCAGCCAUGCCGCGUGGGUGAAGAAGGCCUUCGGGUUGUAAAGCNCUUUUGUNGGGGAAGAAAUCCUGCUGGCUAAUACCCGGCGGGGAUGACGGUACCCAAAGAAUAAGCACCGGCUAACUUCGUGCCAGCAGCCGCGGUAAUAA